rnacentral:tRNA from 1 species
GUCAGGAUGGCCGAGCGGUCUAAGGCGCAAGACUCAAGGACAUAUUCCUUGCUUCAAUAAGAGAAGUUGCAGUAUUCUGGUUUUCAAUGAAGGCGUGGGUUCAAAUCCCACUCCUGACA